GCAGUCGAACGGCAGCACAGGAGAGCUUGCUCUCUGGGUGGCGAGUGGCGGACGGGUGAGGAAUACAUCGGAAUCUACUCUGUCGUGGGGGAUAACGUAGGGAAACUUACGCUAAUACCGCAUACGACCUACGGGUGAAAGCAGGGGACCUUCGGGCCUUGCGCGAUUGAAUGAGCCGAUGUCGGAUUAGCUAGUUGGCGGGGUAAAGGCCCACCAAGGCGACGAUCCGUAGCUGGUCUGAGAGGAUGAUCAGCCACACUGGAACUGAGACACGGUCCAGACUCCUACGGGAGGCAGCAGUGGGGAAUAUUGGACAAUGGGCGCAAGCCUGAUCCAGCCAUACCGCGUGGGUGAAGAAGGCCUUCGGGUUGUAAAGCCCUUUUGUUGGGAAAGAAAUCCAGCUGGCUAAUACCCGGUUGGGAUGACGGUACCCAAAGAAUAAGCACCGGCUAACUUCGUGCCAGCAGCCGCGGUAAUACGAAGGGUGCAAGCGUUACUCGGAAUUAC
rnacentral:rRNA from 1 species